rnacentral:misc_RNA from 1 species
AAUUCUCAACCCCACCAGCUUUUGUAGUUGGUUUUGGGGCUUGGAUGUGGAGGUUUUGCUGGCUGUAAGGUCAGCUCCUCUGAAAUGCAUUAGCGGAACCGUUUGCGAUCCGUCACAGGUGUGAUAAUUAUCUACACCUAGUGGGUUGCUUUCUGUCUUGUUCAGCUUAUAAUCGUCCUCACAGACAAUUUAUUGAAC